rnacentral:rRNA from 1 species
GACGAACGCUGGCGGCGUGCUUAACACAUGCAAGUCGAACGGAAAGGCCCUGCUUUUGUGGGGUGCUCGAGUGGCGAACGGGUGAGUAACACGUGAGUAACCUGCCCUUGACUUUGGGAUAACUCCAGGAAACUGGGGCUAAUACCGGAUAGGAGCUCUCGCCGCAUGGGGGGGGUUGGAAAGUUUGGCGGUGGGGGAUGGGCCCGCGGCCUAUCAGCUUGUUGGUGGGGUAAUGGCCUACCAAGGCGUUGACGGGUAGCCGGCCUGAGAGGGUGACCGGCCACAUUGGGACUGAGAUACGGCCCAGACUCCUACGGGAGGCAGCAGUGGGGAAUAUUGCACAAUGGGCGGAAGCCUGAUGCAGCAACGCCGCGUGCGGGAUGACGGCCUUCGGGUUGUAAACCGCUUUCGCCUGUGACGAAGCGUGAGUGACGGUAAUGGGUAAAGAAGCACCGGCUAACUACGUG